UACGUAGGGGGCGAGCGUUGUCCGGAAUUAUUGGGCGUAAAGCGCGCGCAGGCGGUUCCUUAAGUCUGAUGUGAAAGCCCAUGGCUCAACCAUGGAGGGUCAUUGGAAACUGGGGAGCUUGAGGACAGAAGAGGAGAGCGGAAUUCCACGUGUAGCGGUGAAAUGCGUAGAUAUGUGGAGGAACACCAGUGGCGAAGGCGGCUCUCUGGUCUGUGCCUGGCGCUGAGGCGCGAAAGCGUGGGGAGCGAACAGG
rnacentral:misc_RNA from 1 species